UUCAAAAUAUUAUUUUAAAUAUUACUCAUCUAGUCAGUUAAAAUAUAUUUCAUACUUUUCAAAAGAAAUAUUCUUAUGUUGUCCGAAAAAAAGUGUUUUACAAAAGACUGUGAACAGGUAGUCUAAUAUUUUGUUCAUAAUUCCAAUGAAAAACGAACAUCUCUUUAUUUGGAAAAGAAGAAGGACUACGUUGAACUAAGAUGGCUGAUGAGUGCUAUAUAUAUACUAUUUAGCUUUUAAUUGAAUGAAGACAAUAUAGUUUUGAAAACAGUAUUUAACCUUGGAAGAAGUUAUUUUUGGUGCUGUACGUAUUUAAUAAAUUAUGGUUUAUAACAAUUAAUUUAUCCAUUCUGGUCAAGAAAGUAGAUUAUUUUGAUACAAGUGUACUUUGUAAAUUCAUUACCUACGUCACAAUAUAUGUACAAGUCGAUGGUUGAUGUAUAAUGAUUCCUCUGCAGUCAACAUUCCAUUGAUUUUGACAGCAAUUUUAAUUCUAUCUUAGAAUUUUGUUUCGUGGUCGCUUUGAACUGUGAUCUAUGAUCAAUAAAUCUGCAAGAUUGUUGAACUCAAUAGUCUACAACCACAAUUUUAGUUGCUCAAACACCAGAGUUUGAGUUGACUAUGAGAGAUGCUGUCUACCCUUGCACUUUGGAGUUGAAUAGGCAGAGUCUUCUCUUCUACUUCAUCUAAAAUAUCUGUUAACCAUUUAUAAACCGCCCAGUAUAUGAAUGGAAUCUACCACAUUAAAGUUGUUUGGUUUUUCAGUAAAAAAACUCAUAGCCAUAUUUGAGAAGAAGACAAACUAUGUCUCUAUAGUUAUCAUCAACAGGCUAUAAAAACGGAUUGAAAGUGGAAAAAGGAUAUAGAGUUGUGCAAUUUGAUCAAUUUCCUUGAUUAGCUGAAUACAUUAAAUUUAAUACUGAGAUAAGAUUAAAAUUUUCAAACAAAUUUGAGAAAGAAUUCUUUAAGUUGAUGAACAACACCUAUUUUGGUAAAACCAUGAAAAAUGUACUUGGACGAAUUAAAUUGGAGCUUGUAUCAAGCGAUAAUUGUCUCCGAAAACCAAUCAAUAGAACUACAUUUAAAAUAUAUAAUAUUAUAUUAAUAUAUACAUUUAUAUUAAUAUUAUAUAUGUAUAAUGAGGAUAUAAUUUGUAAAACAAAAGCUGCCAAAUUCAAUAAGUUCAUCAAUAUUGAUUUACAUUAUUAAAUGUUUCAAAGAACCUGACGUACGACUAUCAUUACAAUGUUAUGAAAAUCAUUAUGGUGACAAGAUCAAUCUCAUGUACACUGAUUCAUUAGUGUAUCAUAUCAAUACAAUUGAUUUUUACAACAAUUUGAAGGAUAACCCUAACCUACUUAACCAAAUCGACUAGUCCAACUUACCAUGAGACCAUCCUCGUUUUAUUUUAGAAAGAGAGAAAAGAUCCCAGAGCUGUUUUUUGAUGAGACUGAUGAGUCUUAAAUAGCCGAGUUAUGUACACUAAAAGCCAAGUUGUAUCCAUACAUUUUGAGUAAAAGUUUUAGAGGUCAUGUGGUUAAGAACCACAUGUCAUUUAACUUUCAUAAAAAGUGUUUGUUUAAAGAAGCUGGAGUAGAAGCAUAUAAAGAAAAUGUUUCCAUUCAAUCGUUCAAACACCAGAUAAUGACGAUCAAGACAAAGAAAUUAAUGUUUAACAGCUAUGACGACAAAAGGAUCACUAGAUCACAAAAUACUUAAAUGAUAUAUAUAUAAUAUAUAUAAUAUAUAGUUUUAUAUAGUACAUAUUAGUACAUUAAA